CCUACGGGAGGCAGCAGUGGGGGAUAUUGCACAAUGGGGGAAACCCUGAUGCAGCGACGCCGCGUGGGCGAAGAAGUAUUUCGGUACGUAAAGCCCUAUCAGCAGGGAAGAAGAAAUGACGGUACCUGCGUCAGAAGCACCGGCUAAAUACGUGCCAGCAGCCGCGGUAAUCCGGAUGGGGCAAGCGUUAUCCGGAUUUACUGGGUGUAAAGGGAGCGCAGGCGGCACGGCAAGCCUGAUGUGAAAGCCCGCGGCCCAACCGCGGGACUGCAUUGGAAACUACCGGGCUGGAGUGCGGGAGAGGUAGGCGGAAUUCCUAGUGUAGCGGUGAAAUGCGUAGAUAUUAGGAGGAACACCAGUGGCGAAGGCGGCCUACUGGACGGUGACUGACGCUGAGGCUCGAAAGCGUGGGGAGCAAACAGGAUUAGAUACCCGAGUAGUC
rnacentral:rRNA from 1 species